rnacentral:lncRNA from 1 species
UCAAACUAUUUCUAUAAAUGGCAGAAUUAUUUUGCUCAGAUCUAGAUUGUGCAAUUGUGGAAAAAUGGAGAAGAAGAUGCUGAUAGUAGUUUUAGCGACGCUUCUGGUCAUAUUUUCAGCAAACAUGGAGGGCGUUGAAUCCCAAGGCAUCGGCUGCUACGAUUCCUGUUCAACAGGCUGCGUUAAUCCUGACAGUAAGAUUUUUUUUUUCUUAAUGGGGUGGGGAUAGGGGGUGGUUGUAGAAAGCAUUUUUCGUUUGUUAAAGAAUUUUUAACUGGAAAUUGAAACAAAUUUUUUUUGGAUGCUGUUUACUGUAUAAUUAUUUUCAUUUUUCUGUAUAAUUUAGUGAGGCUAAUGCAGCGAUGCGACCGCAAGUGCCAGAUAAGGUGCAGUCCAGGUAUUUUCCCAGAUUAAGUCGAGUUUUCUUUUUCUGAUUUAGAAUUAUUAUGUGCUGUGCUUUCUGCUAAUAUAGGUACUCUUUGAUAUCAGUAUAUUUGGUUGGGGGAUGACUGGGGCUUUUUCAUAAACUAGUCACCGUGGAAUGUGCAUUAUUAUGAAAUGCUUAUAAAUGCUCUAAAAGUAAUAUUUGAAUCUGUUUAAAUAUUAAUUAAUUUAAAAUUAAUAUGAGGGAAUAUAUACAAGAUUAUGAACGUUAAAAGUGAAACAACUGCCUAUACUGGAGUUAAGAUCUGUUAUCCAGGCAUCGGGCUUAAUGGAUGUUAAUUAGUAUGCAUGAACGUGAAUAAUGAAAUGUAUUCUUCAAUUUGAAUUUCUAAUUAAAUUAUAAUUAAUAAUACUAAAAUGCAUAAAUGAAAUGAAUAUUAGUUAAAUGAAUGUGAAUGUUUAUUAAUUGAGAAAUAAUAAUAAAGAAGUCAUAUAUUAACGAAAGCACACAAAUGAAAUGAAUACGUCGAAUGCACGUCUACGUUGAUUAAUUAAAUGGUUAAAGAAAUUAAAUACAUAUUAAAAAAUGAAAAGUAAUGUAUUAUUGUAAUAAUUGAAUUAUAGUGAUAUCUAAUUCCAAUUAAGUAAUUAAAUAAAUGUGAAGAUGAAUAUUAAUUAAAUAAAUGUGAACGUUAAUUAACUGAGAAUAAUUGAAGGGUGAUGCUACAUGUAUGUUAGGAUGUCCAUAACGGUGUUCACCCACUCACAUGGAAGGGACCCACUUCGAAUAAAAUAUAAUUUGUUCAAAAUGGGUCCCCCUUCAUAUAAAGGGGGUGGACACCAUUAUGGACACAUAUUGUAUAUAAGUAGUAUAUUCUAAAAUUGAAUUAUAAUAAGACUAGAAUCAUCCAAAAAAUGAUUAUGAUUUGAUGUGAUAUUUAGUGUCUGUUUGACAAUCUUUAAUUUAUUAUAUAGUUUGCUAUUGGAUCAUUUUCAACCACACAUUCACACAAUAAAAUAUUAUACACGUAUACCAAAAUUUUUGCCUACUUUUGACCAUACAUUUCCCCAAAAUCACUAUUCGAAACUCUUUCUUUCAACACUAAUUGUUGUCAAACAGGCUCUUAAUAAAUUAUGAAUAAGCAUUGGAUAUCUUUGUUCUGCUCGGGUGCAAUUUGUUGGAGUUUUGCAUAAGAGGAAACAAAACAAGUUUUAAGAUUUUCAGCUUGUCAAUUUGUGGAGUCCGCUUGAGUUCAGCUUGUCAAUAUAAAGUUAGUAUAUUAAAAUGAAACAUGAACCUUAGUGUUUGAGAAUUAGAAACCCAAUUCAACCUAAUUUUAUACCACCAGAGCUCGCAGAAAUGAAUAAAGACACACAAGAUUUAUAGAGGGUUACCUCACAAAUAUGAGAUUACAUCAUCUUUCGCCACUGCAAUAAUCCACUAACAUGAAAAGAAGUUUACAAUAGAAAAUCCCACACACUAUCUUAUCUAACCUUUCUGUCCCUUUUUUAUGGUAAUACAAAAAUAUAAUGACGACUCCCUAUUUAUAAGAUAAAUUAUGGAAAAAUCAUUAUUUACAAGGACACAAAAUCAAUCCUCAUGUAGGCUCUGCACAGCAGCAAUAAUUAGGUUCCACUACUUAACACUUAGAGUGUGUUUGAUUGACAUGAAAAAUAUUAUCUAGAAAAGAAAAUAUUUUCCAUCUUUUGUGGAAAAUAAAAAUCACCUCUACCCAAAGAAAAUGUUUUCCUUAAAAACAAGGAAAAUUAGGCAUAUUUUCAAAAGUUGGAAAACGUUUUCCAUGAAAAAAAUAGCAAUCAAACACUUUAAGUAGGAAUUUGGGUGAAAAACUGAUAUUUUUCAUGAAAAAUAAAUGUAAUCAAACACACCCUUAACUCUUUUUCAGAACUAUUGAUUUGAAUAAUCAGUAAGCAGGCUUGUUUACUAUAUGAAGCUGAGUUUUUCGUUGCAUAUUUUACUUUCCCAAGUAUGUCUGCAAGAAAAGAAAGACAAGGUUCAUUUGAAACCAGUGCAUUCAUUUUGUACUAAUAAAUAAAUAAAGAACUGGACUCGGCUUGGAAAAUGGGCUUUAUUCAUCAAAUUAUAUAGCAUUAUUUUUCUGCAUCUACCUGUUCACUCUUUGAUAUCAAUGAUAUAGCACAUGGCGUAACCAUUUAGAUUACAAUGAUUGUAUGUUCUGCACUCUGGUCACCUCGAAGCCUAAGAAAUGGUUCAGUUAUACAUAAGCAUACAUGUUCUAAUUACAUACGUGUAUAUGCAUGUGUACAAGAAAACUUUAAACAUAAGUUUGGGAGGUAUGAAUCAGAAUCAAGCUUAAAACUUUCUAGGAUAGGAUUCAUAAUUUUUACCAAAAUGUUCCCACAUGGGCAAGGCACUAAAGAUCUCUGUAGUGCUUAACAUGAUAGUACAAUAUAAGGUGAAAAGAAGCAUACACCUCUAGUGUCAUUCAAUUGAGAGACUUGUUAACCUUUUUAACACUUAAUAUUUACAUUUAGCUUUUUAAAUUUUCCACAAACAUGAUGCAUGUAUCAUUAGAAUAAGAGAUCAAGAUGGUGAUGAAAGUAGAAAAUCUAUCGCUUGCAAUGGAUAAUUAAUAUGUUUUUUGUUCAAAUCAAAUGUUAUUGCAAAAGGAUGGACUAGGUGUCUAAUUCUAUGUUUUCAUUCUACUAACCGUGAGUUAUGAAACUUCCAAACAAUUGGCUCAACUAUAUUUCAUCAUCAUCAGUUGAAGUUGGGGCACGUAGGAACAUAUAAUGUUGUUAUACUGUUCUUAUGCUGUUGUGCAAGAGAUCAGACGUGCAAAUUUAUGAACUUUUUAAAAGAUCAAAGUGACGAGUGUCUUUCAUGUACAGAAACAGAUGAAUCUAAGAUAAUCAUCUUAACAAAGAUAUGAUGUUCUACACACAUACCUAACCUUUUGCUAGAAUUGGUUAAGUAUAUAACCAUGGUAACGUGGUUUUCUAUCAAUUUAGGCCAAAUAAUCGAACUUGAUCCGAUGGUCAAAUUAUGGAAAUAAAUAAACUAACUUUUUCUACUCGUCGAGUAGAUUGAUGUGGUAUAUUAUUUGGAAUCUCAAAAUCAGUUUCGGAUGAAUGAGAAAUAUAGUCCAAGGUUGGAAUGAAAAAAGGAAAACUGGCCGGGUAUUAGCCCAACUCCAUCGCUCGCCUAUCACUCGAGCGGUGAGCAGGCAAUAAGAUUGUUGCUUGAGCAACAAACGAGCGAUAGCCUUUCUAUUUUCGACGCUCGAGCGACGGACGAGUGACAAGAAAGGCUGCGAACUUGGCAAAGAUUGCUGAGUUUUGAAGCGUGUCUCUUCAUUCACAAUCUCUUCCCCUCUAUAGAUUAGACCCUUGGGACGUCCUUUACUUUAUCCCAAUGAUAUGCAAUCAUAGUAUAACAUAAACAUUCAUAUUUCCUUAACCAAAAUUCUACAUAAAAAAUCUAUUUUCAUUUCGUUUCAUUUAAAAGGAGUAUAAAAGCCACAUUUUGAUUAGCUUUUCUUGUGUUUUGAUAUGAUAUAAACACAAGAAGUUAGUCAUUGUAUCUUGGGGGUUGAUUGCUAUCAUUCAUAGGCACUGUUGCAAGACAAAAUCGACUUAAGGAUAAAGAGUUCAAUUCUUACCUCGACUUUGCAUUCAUUUCUUUGGUGUUACUUUGUCCAAUUUCAUUGGCAUUUUAAUAUAAUUUUUGUGGUGUUUAUUUUUCCAUUUUUUGUCGUUACUUUGUCCAAAUUUUGAUAAGGUUGGUGAGUUUGAUUUUAAAGUCAUCACUCAGAUCCCUUUUCAAACCACACCUUUCACAUUUUAGUGUGUGUACCAUUGCUAAGAAGGGUCCAUCACCCAAUGGAGUUAUUUGACGCAUACCAAUUGACAUGCGUAGAACUACUCCUGUAUGCGUUGAAGUUAGGGAACUCCCUAUUGUUAUCAAUCACCCUUGAAAAUUUGAACAAACAUUAUAUUCAGAAAAACAUUGAAGCCAUUUUGCUAUAUAUUGCUAUAUAUAACACCUUAGUAACUUUAAGAAAUUAUACAUAAUUGUGAUUUAGUUGUCCAAAUUCUAUUGAAUCAAGCUUAUGCAGGUUUCUAUUCAAUUAUACUUUCUUUACAUCCCUUCUCAAAAUUGGAUUAGAUAUGUGUGAGUAUGUGUGUGUUAGUAUACAAAUAACUUCAUGAUAUCCAAUGUCAGAUUGAAAGAUUAUCAUUAACGUGCAUCUCUUAAUCAAAUUUAUGCUGAUCUCUGUAAUUGAUGGUUUUCUUGACAUUGGCAGGACUUGAAUCGAGUAAGAAUUGAAGUUACUCAAUAAAAGCAUCCCGGGGUGUCAUGAACUCAGUUGGGAAGAUGCAUCUCGUGACUGCCGAGAAGUUAAGACCUUUGUUUCUGUAUGCACAUUAUUCGGAUAAAUAAGUGCAAUAAAAAGUAUUGUUCCACAAGUUUAUAUCAGUAAUAGAAUGUUCAUUACUUCUCGAUGUCUAAUUAUGUAGUUUUAUUGUACGCCUGGUAAUUUUAAGAAUUGUUGCUUAUUCAUUUUGUUCUAUAGUGAGUUCAUAUCUUGCCAAUAGGGAGAAAAAUUUAAGCAUGGAUGCAAGUGAUUCCCGUUUUGGAUUGUUCCACAAUUCCUAGAUCAUGUUGGAUGAAAUGAUGCGGUUGACAACACUAUGAAAAGCUAAUAAAUAGCUCACGUGCAAAUUCUCGACUCCAUGUACACUGUGUGAGGACUUCAAACAUGUUUGAUAUUUUAGAUUGAACAAUAUCAAAAAUAAAAAGUUAAAAUCUUGAUCAUGCUAAAAUAAUAUGGGUAAAUUUCA